GUGCCAGCAGCCGCGGUAAGACGGAGGGCGCAAGCGUUGUUCGGAAUUACUGGGCGUAAAGCGCGCGCAGGCGGGAAGGUAAGUCUGGAGUGAAAUUCCGGGGCUCAACUCCGGAGCUGCUUUGGAUACUGUCUUUCUAGGGACCGGUAGAGGCCGGUGGAAUUCCCGGUGUAGCGGUGGAAUGCGUAGAGAUCGGGAAGAACACCCGUGGCGAAGGCGGCCGGCUGGGCCGGAUCCGACGCUGAGGCGCGAAAGCGUGGGGAGCAAACAGGAUUAGAAACCCCGGUAGUCC
rnacentral:rRNA from 1 species